CUGGCGGCGUGCCUAACACAUGCAAGUCGAACGAGGUCCAUGCAGUGGCAACACUGCGGAAGACCUAGUGGCGAACGGGUGAGUAACACGUGAGGAACCUGCCCCGAAGACCGGGAUAACCCUCCGAAAGGAGAGCUAAUACCGGAUACCCCACCGGAUCGCAUGAUCUGGUGAGGAAAUGGAUUCCGCUUCGGGAGGGCCUCGCGGCCUAUCAGCUAGUUGGUGGGGUAACGGCCCACCAAGGCAUCGACGGGUAGCUGGUCUGAGAGGACGAUCAGCCACACUGGGACUGAGACACGGCCCAGACUCCUACGGGAGGCAGCAGUGGGGAAUCUUGGGCAAUGGGGCGAAAGCCUGACGCAGCAACGCCGCGUGGGGGAUGAAGGCUCUCGGGUUGUAAACCCCUUUCAGCAGGGACGAAUCAAGACGGUACCUGCAGAAGAAGCCCCGGCUAACUACGUG
rnacentral:rRNA from 1 species